GUGUGUUGCUGGUGGGCAACAGGAGGAGGACUGUGUUGCAAAACUGGGCUGAUGAAGAGCAGAAUUUGAGGGGUGGGGAUGCAGGGGAUGGGGUAUAAAGCGCCUGCACUUGUGCAUCUACACACUGAGCUGCCAUCGUCUUCCUCUCUGCAGCUCCCUCUGAGAAUGUCAAAAGGCCAGGCAGCGGAUAAAGAACCUCACCUUGCUCACCUUCACCUCGAGGACGCAAUUAUAUGCAACCAACUUAUCACAGGUAAGGCAACAUGUUGAACCAAAGGCACAGAUGCAUUGAAGUGAAAUGAAUGGAUAUGGAAGCUCCUCAGCACAAGGACAUGUCAGCUGUAAGAACAAAGAACUGCUAAGUCCUUCUCACCAGCCCUGAGGAUCCAACUAAUGCUUCAGCCUCCUCAUGACUCAUCAGCAGGAUGAUGUAUUUGCACUCCAAACCCCUGCCAGUUUCAUGUUCGCAUUCAUCCUCAUUCUCAACAAGACGCAUAGCUUCAUAACAAGCAGUCACAGCUGCUCAGAGCGUCCAACAGAGCUGAAAAAAAUCCCUUUUUAUAUAACAUUAUUGGGUUUCCAACAUGGGCAACAAGAAGGGGAGAAGGCAGCAUGAAGAGGAAGGAAUAAAGCAGAGAGGUCACAUGUUCACAGCGAGACAACAGAGAAGAAGAGCAGCUCAAACAUGGGAUAUUGGAGACAUGAUGAUUUAAGGAGAUUCUGUUUUAACACAAAGCCCAGCAACAUGGUGGGUGUGUUUCCCACAUUAACUGGAUUCAUGGUGGUGAACAGAGAGGAACCAGUUUGUCCUCCCCACACUACAAGGACAAACUCUGAAAUCGCUCUGGUCUUUCCUAACACCUGGUGAGAAGAGAACAGAGCUUCUCAGCUUCAGAUGCUCAAAAAAUCAUCAAGAGAAGGGUUUUCUGACUUAAUGCAGCAUGUCUUUAUUCCUGGUGAUCACUGCUGGUCAAUGAAAAUGUCAAACAAACAGUCAUUCAAUAAAUCCAUUCAAUAAGUUCAUUUAUUCCAGUAAGUCCAUCACUAAGUGAAACAUGUAGUGAUUUAUUUAAUGUUUUCAAGCAUUUAUUUCUGUUAAUUAUGAUGAUUUUCUUCCAACAUCAUAAUAUUAAUAUCCUGAUCCAUUGAACGAGUCUUUUUUAGAAAUAGAAACUGGAAAAAUGAAGCAUGCAAUUUAAUUCAAGUCACUUCUGUGUCAAGAUGUUGCAGAACCACCUUUAGCUGGAGUUCCAGCUGCAGGUCUUUUCUGGAGGUCGAUACAAAUGUUUGGCUGGUUCUUCUUUGUUAGUUGCUCAGAGUCCAUCUGUCACUCCGUCGGACUGGACCUUGACUGGGCUACUCUAACACAAGCAUGGGUACCAUCUGAACCAGGGGUGUCAAACACCAGGUGUGUUGGACCAGAUGUGUCUCUGGUACCUCCCAGUAUCUCCUCAGGAUUCAGCCAGGUUCUACAGAGUUCUGCUGAUGGACUAAUCAUUUGGUUCAUUCUGGUGUGUUGAAGAGAGACGCAUCUAAAAGCUGAAGGACUGUUGUUUGACACCUGUCUAUCUCCCCAUCAACUCUGACCAGACUCCCUGUCCCUCUUGUGGAAGAGUAUUCCCACAGCAUGAUGCUGCCGCCAUCAUGUUUCACUGUGCAGGUGGUGUGUAUUGAAUAGUGCUCUGUCAUAUGUAACUUGGGAUAUUGUUUUAUAACUAAACCUUGCUUUACCUUGGGCCAUCGGUACCGUCGUAUGCUCCAACAGUGACGUUGCGGAAAAGCUUCCUCUUGGCCUUCUCACUCCGCGUCUCUAAAACACACAUCCAGGGAAAACAUAUGUUAAAACUACCAGCUUGCCCAUGACACUGUCUUUUUGCACGUUUGUCAACGCAACACAAAAGAGACAAAGAUAUUUACAGCGUAUUGCUGUGUCCUCGGUGCUGUACAUGGAUGGGAACUGUUGCAGAAGUGUGUUUCUGCGCUGGAAAUAGGCCAAUACGUACAUGCUUUCUGGUGAAUUUGUAUUUUGUGUUUGGUGUUGCUUUUAUUAUAAAAAAAGAGACAAAAUCUUGA